ACUCAUACCUUGCAGAGGAAAUACCAUUUCAUAGAAGUGGUUUUCCCAGGGGGAGCCUUAUCCAUUGUACUUUGGGUAUGCUGCUGAUCCCUGUGAUUUUCCCAAAUAUGGGGAAAUCAUCUGCAUAGUUUGUGUUAAUGGGAGAUUGCACUUGUGAUUAACCUUG
rnacentral:snRNA from 1 species